rfam:Thalassospira xiamenensis M-5 = DSM 17429, complete genome.
GCUGAUGUAGCUCAGCUGGUAGAGCGGCGCAUUCGUAAUGCGUAGGUCGUAGGUUCAAAUCCUAUCAUCAGCA